rnacentral:rRNA from 1 species
GGGGAAUUUUCCGCAAUGGGCGAAGGCCUGACGGAGCAAUGCCGCGUGGAGGAUGACAGCCCAUGGGUCGUAAACUCCUUUUCUUAGAGAAGAAAUUUUGACGGUAUCUGAGGAAUAAGCAUCGGCUAACUCCGUGCCAGCAGCCGCGGUAAUACGGAGGAUGCAAGCGUUGUCCGGAAUCAUUGGGCGUAAAGGGUCCUGAGGUGGUUUGCUCAGUCCACUGUGAAAGUUCAGGGCUUACCCUUGAAAAUGCGGUGGAAACUAGUAGGCUAGAGUACGGUGGGGGCAGAGGGAAUUCCCGAUGUAGCGGUGAAAUGCAUAGAUAUCGGGAAGAACACCGACGGCGAAGGCACUCUGCUGGGCCGACACUGACACUGAAAGACGAAAGCCAGGGGAGCGAAUGGGAUUAGAUACCCCAGUAGU